rnacentral:rRNA from 1 species
GAUGAACGCUGACAGAAUGCUUAACACAUGCAAGUCGAUGGGGAAGUGGUGCUUGCACCAUGGUAACCAUGGCGGACGGGUGAGUAACGCGUAAGGAACUUACCUGCGGGACCGGGAUAACAGCAGGAAACUGCUGACAAGACCGGAUAAGGUCAUUAAGCUGCAUAGCUUAGUGAUGAAAGGAGACGCCUGCGGAGAGCCUUGCGUCCUAUUAGCUAGUUGGAGGGGUAACGGCCCACCAAGGCGAAGAUAGGUAGCCGGCCUGAGAGGGUGGACGGCCACAAGGGGACUGAGAUACGGCCCUUACUCCUACGGGAGGCAGCAGUGGGGAAUAUUGGACAAUGGGGGCAACCCUGAUCCAGCAAUUCUGUGUGCACGAAGACGGUUUUCGGAUUGUAAAGUGCUUUCAGCAGGGAAGAAGGAAGUGACGGUACCUGCAGAAGAAGCGACGGCUAACUACGUG